UCCCAGCCGAUCGGAGCAGCGCGGAGCCCUCCUCCCAGCCCAGCUCCCUGCAUCCUGCCAGAGGGGAGGCGUUGAAGUGCCCAGACGGAGCCACCAGCCGGCUCCAGGAGACGCGGGAGCCCAGCACCGUGGCGGGACGAUGCGCUGAGCCGCCCGCAGAGGAGGGGGCGCUGCUCCCGCUUGGCCAGGCCAAGGGAAAGGAAGCAAGCGACAGUAAGCUGCGUGGAUCGAAGAGCUUCGUCAAGUGUUGAGGCUUUGAGGAGACAAUCGUCGAGUCGUAGGGGUUUGAAUUUCUAGAGACCGGAGAGUUGCCCUGGAGUCCUU